rnacentral:rRNA from 1 species
AUUGAACGCUGGCGGCAGGCCUAACACAUGCAAGUCGAACGGUAACAGGAAGCAGCUUGCUGCUUCGCUGACGAGUGGCGGACGGGUGAGUAAUGUCUGGGAAACUGCCUGAUGGAGAGGGAUAACUACUGGAAACGGUAGCUAAUACCGCAUAACGUCGCAAGACCAAAGAGGGGGACCUUCGGGCCUCUUGCCAUCGGAGGUGCCCAGAUGGGAUUAGCUAGGAGGUGGGGUAACGGCUCACCUAGGCGACGAUCCCUAGCUGGUCUGAGAGGAUGACCAGCCACACUGGAACUGAGACACGGUCCAGACUCCUACGGGAGGCAGCAGGGGGGAAUAUUGCACAAUGGGCGCAAGCCUGAUGCAGCCAUGCCGCGUGUAUGAAGAAGGCCUUCGGGUUGUAAAGUACUUUCAGCGGGGAGGAAGGUGUUGAGGUUAAUAACCUCAGCAAUUGACGUUACCCGCAGAAGAAGCACCGGCUAACUCCGUGCCAGCCGCCGCAGUAAAAC